GAUAAUAAGGGUUUAACUCCUGUGGGUGAAUUUACAAUUCACCGCCUAAACCUCGGCCAUAUUACC
rnacentral:tRNA from 1 species